UCUCCUCGAAAUAGCUUUAGGGCUAGCCUCAUGGAUCAUUGGUGGGGGUAGAGCACUGAAUGUGCGCGGGGGCCACAAAGCCUACCAAACGCUAUCAAACUUCGAAUACCAUACAAUGCAGACCAUGGGAGUCAGUCCGCGAGAGAUAAGUUCCGCGGGCAAAAGGGGAACACCCCAGAUCAACCGCUAAGGUCCCCAAGUUCACGUUAAGUGGAGAAGGAUGUGGAAUUGCACAGACAACCAGGAUGUUGGCUCAGAAGCAGCCACACAUUUAAAGAGUGCGUAAUAGCUCACUGGUCGAGUGAUUGUGCGCCGAAGAUGUCCGGGGCUAAACGUGACACCGAAGCGAUGGGUGCAUCUGAAAGGAUGCGCGGUAGAGGAGCAAUGUGCAGAGGCAGAAGCCGUAUCGAGAGGCACGGUGGACACUGCACAAGAGAGAAUGCCGGUAUGAGUAGCGAGAGGCAUGCGAGAAACAUGCCCGUCGAAAGCCCAAGGUUUCCUGGGGAAGGUUCAUCCGCCCAGGGUAAGUCGGGGCCUAAGCCGAGGACGGAAGUCGUAGGCGAUGGACAGCAGGUGUAGAUUCCUGCACUACCGAUGGAAUGAAGCAGUGACACAGAAGGAUAACUCGAGCAGGGUGAUGGUCAACCCUGUGCAAGCAUUGAGGUUGGGUUGUAGUGAAGUACGCAAUCCUAUAAGCUGAGGUGUGAUGCGGACCGAAAUUUCAGUAGGGAAGCGAGUGAGUUCACGCUGGCGAGAAAAGCUGCUAGUACAUCCAAAGGUACCCGUACCGGAAACCGACGCAGGUGGGCGAGGAGAGAAUCCUGAGACGAACGGGAGAACCCUUGUUAAGGAACUCGGCAAAAUGACCCCGUAACUUCGGGAUAAGGGGUGCCUGCGAGAGCAGGCCGCAGAGAAUAGUCACAAGCGACUGUUUAGCAAAAACACAGGUAUCUGCGAAAGCGAGAGCUGACGUAUAGGUGCUGACACCUGCCCGGUGCUGGAAGGUUAAGGGAACAUGUUAGAGCAAUCGAAGCAUCGAACCGAAGCCCCAGUAAACGGCGGCCGUAACUAUAACGGUCCUAAGGUAGCGAAAUUCCUUGUCGGGUAAGUUCCGACCCGCACGAAUGGUGUAACGACUUGUGAGCUGUCUCAACAGGGGGCCCGGUGAAAUUGAAGUAUGGGUGAAGAUGCCCAUUACCCGCGACUGGACGGAGAGACCCCGUAGAGCUUUACUGCAGCCUGAUAUUGAGUUUCGGUAACUGAUGCACAGGAUAGGUGGGAGUCUGAGAGACAUGGGUUUCGGCUCAUGUGGAGACGGUGUUGGGAUACCACUCUUCGGUUACUGAAAUUCUAACAUAGCUCUGUGAAACCAGAGGAUGGACAGUGUCAGGUGGACAGUUUGACUGGGGCGGUCGCCUCCGAAAGAGU
rnacentral:rRNA from 1 species